rnacentral:rRNA from 1 species
UGGAGACACUUUCCUUCAGUUCGGCUGGAUAGGUGACAGGUGCUGCAUGGCUGUCGUCAGCUCGUGUCGUGAGAUGUUGGGUUAAGUCCCGCAACGAGCGCAACCCUCGCCUUUAGUUGCCAGCAUUUGGUUGGGCACUCUAAAGGAACCGCCGGUGAUAAGCCGGAGGAAGGUGGGGAUGACGUCAAGUCCUCAUGGCCCUUACGCGUUGGGCUACACACGUGCUACAAUGGCGACUACAGUGGGCAGCCACCUCGCGAGAGCGAGCUAAUCUCCAAAAGUCGUCUCAGUUCGGAUCGUUCUCUGCAACUCGAGAGCGUGAAGGCGGAAUCGCUAGUAAUCGCGGAUCAGCAUGCCGCGGUGAAUACGUUCCCAGGCCUUGUACACACCGCCCGUCACACCAUGGGAGUUGGUAUUCACCUCGAAGGCUUGAUA